rnacentral:rRNA from 1 species
UACGUAGGGGGCUAGCGUUGUCCGGAAUCAUUGGGCGUAAAGUGCGUGUAGGCGGUCCGGUAAGUCCGCUGUGAAAGUCGGGGGCUCAACCCUCGAAAAGCCGGUGGAUACUGUCGGGCUAGAGUGCGGAAGAGGCGAGUGGAAUUCCCGGUGUAGUGGUGAAAUGCGUAGAGUAUCGGGAGGAACACCAGUCGGCGAAGGCGACUACCUGGCC